rnacentral:rRNA from 1 species
CUACGGGGCGCUGCAGUGGGGAAUUUUGCGCAAUGGGCGAAAGCCUGACGCAGCAAUACCGCGUGAGUGAAGAAGGCCUUUGGGUCGUAAAGCUCUUUUCUGGGGGAAGAUAGUGACGGUACCCCAGGAAUAAGCACCGGCUAACUCCGUGCCAGCAGCCGCGGUAAUACGGAGGGUGCAAGCGUUGUUCGGAUUUACUGGGCGUAAAGGGCACGUAGGCGGCACAGCAAGUUAAGGGUGAAAUCCCGGGGCUCAACUCCGGAACUGCUCUUAAAACUGCUGAGCUAGAGAUAGUCAGAGGCGGGUGGAAUUCCUGGUGUAGAGGUGAAAUUCGUAGAUAUCAGGAGGAACACCGGUGGCGAAGGCGGCCCGCUGGGGCUAUUCUGACGCUAAGGUGCGAAAGCGUGGGGAGCGAACGGGAUUAGAUACCCCAGUAGUC